CUUCCGCCAUGUCUUCCCCUCGAAGAUGGGCUUUAUCCUCCAAAUGGGAAGCCAAAGAAACCCCUUAAGCUCCUUCUUGUCAGGAAUCAGAUCCCCAUGACCACUAACAGCAACAACUCAGAAGGCAGAGUGUACGUGCAGAAAGCUCUAAGAGACUCCUACAGUUGUCAAGACAUAGUGCAGUUCCAACAAACCCACGUGGGCCCAGAAUCAACCGGCUCUCUUCCGUUACUACUGUUAAAACUCUAAUACACUGAAGCCCAAGCGAGAUGACUCUUCAGCCUCUCCAGCUAGGAGGAAGAGUGCCAGGGACCCUGUGUUCUAUCAUUUAGGAAGGCCUGAGUAAGCUAACUCUCAUCAAAUCAAGCAUUUUCAUGAUUUCUCAUCUCUACACCCUCAAAUUCUCCCCAGAGUAACUUGUAAACUCCUCGAUCCAGUGCUGUUGUCAAUAAAUGCAUCGAGAGUCCUGGAGCGCAGGACCUCAGCAGCCCCCAGUGUGAUCCACUCCCUCUGCUGGGCUUCUCUGGUGUCAUCCUUCACAAUAGAGGUCCUCUGAGGGAGACCCUCUCACCUGCCCUUCCUCUGCACACCCACUGUUUUCCAUCAUGACUCCAUCCCAUGUCAUUCCGUCAUCAGCCUGUGUUCCUUGCUUGGACAGUCCUGGCACUGACAGAUUCAUGUAUAUCCACAGUUUCCUAAUAAUACACUAGUCUUUGUUUGUACAUUUGAAAGAGAACAGAAAUCCAGAGUGUCUAAUACAAAACAUGUGAUCACUCUUUGCACUGGGUUCUCUUGCCAAUCACUGUUGCCUCUGCAAAUAUAAAAUUAAUAACAAUAACUCCCACAAACAUGUGCUUCUUGUUUAUUAUAUCCCAAACUAUAGACAAGACGCGCACCUUCUGUAUAUCUACCGCUGUGCCCAAGAACUCUAACCCUGGAGCUCCCCUGGCUCCGUUCUACUAAUGAGGAACCGAGAAGUUCCUUUAUUUCCCUCGGGCAUUGUGCUAGACAAUGGUAUGCUGCAGUUUGAAUAAAUCAUGGCGUCCAUGGGCACAUGUGCUGAAGAGCUGCUCCCCAGCUGCUGAUGGUAUUUGGGGACAUGACGGAAACUUUUAGAGUUGGGAGCGUGUUAGAGGAAGUGGGUUACUUAAGCACUUCUUUACGCCUUCUGUUUCUCUGCUUUCUGGAUACCUAGAGGCAAGCAGUUUCCGCCAAAUGCUCCAGUUGCAAUGACAUACCUUACCUUGAGCCCAAAGCACUGGAUCCUGAUGACUGUGAACAGACACCUCUGAAACCAAGAGCCAAAAUUAAUCCAUUCUGCUUUGAGACUAUCUUCCUUAGGUAGUUGUCACAUCCAGAAACCAGGACUACACUGGCACUUCCCUCAAUACGUUUGGGCUAGUGCAUCACCAAGUGUGCUAGUUUAUAUUGAUUGUCACAGUGACAGGAUUUAAGAUCACCUUGGAAGUGAACCUCUGGACAUGCCUGUGAAGAAUUCUCUAGUUUAGAUGAAAAGUGUCCAGCAGCCUCAAGCUGCUAUUGUGACUUCUGAGCCAUGGGACUCUUUAUGUUAAAGUUAUGAGCUUUAGUAUACCCUGCUUCAAGUUGCUUCUGUUCCAUAUUUUGUCGUGGCAUCAUGAAAAGUAAGCAAUACAUCCCUUAAUCUCAGCGCUUUCUUCAGAACGCAGAUCAAAUUCAUUUUUUCAGGGCGAAACCCUUUUCCACAGAAACGCAGCUGAGGAAGUUCUUCUAUGCAGUCAAGACCGUUGCCAGACAUCUAAGUGUCAACCAUCAAAACAUUUGCUUUUCCUAAAGAAAAAAGUUAAU
rnacentral:lncRNA from 1 species